AGCGAACGCUGGCGGCAUGCCUAACACAUGCAAGUCGAACGAGACCUUCGGGUCUAGUGGCGCACGGGUGCGUAACGCGUGGGAAUCUGCCCUUGGGUUCGGGAUAACAGUUGGAAACGACUGCUAAUACCGGAUGAUGACUUCGGUCCAAAGAUUUAUCGCCCAGGGAUGAGCCCGCGUCGGAUUAGCUAGUUGGUGAGGUAAAGGCUCACCAAGGCGACGAUCCGUAGCUGGUCUGAGAGGAUGAUCAGCCACACUGGGACUGAGACACGGCCCAGACUCCUACGGGAGGCAGCAGUGGGGAAUAUUGGACAAUGGGCGAAAGCCUGAUCCAGCAAUGCCGCGUGAGUGAUGAAGGCCUUAGGGUUGUAAAGCUCUUUUACCCGGGAAGAUAAUGACUGUACCGGGAGAAUAAGCCCCGGCUAACUCCGUGCCAGCCGCCGCCGUAACAC
rnacentral:rRNA from 1 species